GUUAGGCCCUUAACCAUCCUGAUUUGCCCAGGACUGAGAAGGUUUCCAGACACAGAGCUUUCAGGGUUUUGUUUUGUUUAAAAGAUUUUUUUGAUGUGGACCAUUUUUAAAGUCUUUAUUGAAUUUGUUACAAUAUUGCUUCUGUUUUAUGUUUUGGUUUUUGACCACAAGGCAUGUAGGAUCUUGGCUCCCCGACCAGGGUUCAUUGGAAGCUGAAGUCUUAACCACUGGCCCACCAGAGAAGUCCCAGAGCUUUCAGUUUUAAAGCUGGGAUAAUCCUAGGCAAACCAGGACAAGCUGUCACCCUAGGUCGAGGUGACAAUGGGGUAAGAGGUACCAGGACAUACGACUGCUGAUUUCCAAAUAUUUGGAGGGGCUUAUUCUCAACGGCCCUCAGGCAGAGCUGAACUCAAGGUAAGAAAGGCCCUGAGAUUCCCAGGGAGCUUUCUCAGGAGAAGGAACAGCACAGGGCAGGUGUGCAUGAGGAGGUGGUCAUGACUCCUGGGGUAUGAAAACCCUUUAAACACACACGCACCAGAAAAUUCAUCAUGGUCACCACCUCUGCAUUCAGUGAUGCUUUUAUUAUAUUAAUAUAUUAUAUAUCAUUCUACAUAUUAAUAUAUAUUAUUCUAUUACAUUAAUCACAACAGCAUCUUGAUACAUUUGGAAAGUAGGAGACAAGAUUUAUCCUUUCUAUACAGAAUACUCGGCUCCCAGCUCCCAUGCAAGUGCUCCAACCCCCUCGCCACUUCCGAGUUUGCCAUCCUCAGGGGAAAGGGUGAGGCUGGAUGUUGCUUGAGAUUCCUUUCAACUCCAGGGUUCUGUGUGUCCUGGGCUUGGCAUCAUGCCUGAGCUACAGUACUGCUCAGGAAAUGCUGGUUACCACUUCUCAUCAGCACCAUCAGUGGCAGGAAGCAUGCUCAUGUCCUUUCCCAAUCACUUCUUUUCCUUCCCAGACACCAUGCUGCCUGAGGCAGAGCCCUCGCGGGUAACUGAGUAACCAAAAACCUGACAGAGGCCUCGCUGAGUAAGGGGUUUGUUUUCUCACAUAAGAGGAAGUCUGGAGAUCAGCAGCUGCAGGGAAGUCAUUCAAGAGGCAGGCUCCUUCUUUCUUCCUGCUCCAACUUCCUCAGUGUGCAGCUCUUGUCGCAAAGUGGCUGCUGCAACUCCAAGCCUUGCACCUGAAUUCCAGGAAGGAAAAAAGGGAAAUGGAAGGGCAUAAGAGCACCCCAGCUGAGCCAGACCCCUUUUAAAAGCCAUUCCUGGCAGCCACAUGCAGAAACUCCUUGGAUGUCAUUGGUCAGUACUGGGUCACACAGCUACUGCUGGCCGCAAGGACAUUGCCACGGCAUUUAGGGGACACAUUGCCACCCUGAAAGACACUGGGGUCUGCUUAGUAAGGGAGAAAAGGAGAACAGAUAUUGGGUAGGCAGAGAACAGUGUCUGCCUCAGCCACCUCUGGGCAUAUACACUUGUCACCUCCCUGGCUGUCCCUGCUCCUUGGGGAACUAAAAAAGCACCAGUCCUAAUGGCAGGGCCGGAGUCUGCAGCCCCAAUAGGAGGGCAAGAAUGUCAAGAAGAGAGUGAGUACAGGCUGCCAUGCUGUGUCUCGGCAGGGAGCUCCGUGACGCCCAAAGCAGAACUGGUCGGAGUUAACCCUGGGCCCAGGGAAGUUUAGUUUGUGACAACAGCACUGUUGGAAAUGGAAAAAGGAUUUGGGUAGCCCCUGGCGCCACUCCAGCCAGCCUCACUGCAGCCCCAUGUUUGCUUGCUCAGAAACCCCUUCUGCCUGGAACAGCCUGCCCCUAGAUGUUCUCCCAACUUGCUGUCUCUUCUAAGCCCACCACAAAUCCAGCCUGUCUUGAAUAGUUUCCUGCCUUGAGGAUCAACCCACUGCAUCAUUACCUUCUAAGAAACACAACCAACCUCUGUAUGUAUAUAAAUUGUCUAGGCAAUUGUGUUAUCUAUGUAUUACUCAGAUGAUUUACUUAUCAGCACUUUGUUCUCACUAUUAGAUGCAUGCCCUGUAAUGUACCUGUGGAAACAAUGUUUACAGAUCAGCGAAUAGAAUGUGAAUUCAUUCUCAGAAUGGCAAACAUCCUGUCUUAAGGGAGUGAUGGAAAAACAAAAGGCCAUGCCAAGUUCACCAGAAUAUGUAUAACUGGUCUACAAUGAUGUUGUGUUCUUAACUAGCGUGACAUGCCAAAAAUGGGGGCUUACUUUGGAAAAUUGCAAAAUCCAAUACAUGCAAUACUGACUGUGUUCAUUUCAUUACAUUUUAUAAAACUGUCUGUUGGCAAUUGUGUGUCAGAAUGGGCUUGUCAAAUCUUUGCAAGAGGAGGAGUUUUGUUUUUUUUUUCCUCAAAGCUACACAAUCUAAAUUACUUUUAGUUUCAAAUGUGAAACAUGCUGGAUUUUUAAAGAAUUGUUUCAUGCCCACAGGUAAGUGGAGCAGAGAAUUGCAUAACAGUUCUAUUCAUCUGCUCAAGCUUGGCAAUAACUCCGCAUCAAGGGUGGUCCAGCAGAGAGGCUGUCCACACUGUGUGCUUUUGCUAAGACCAGUGUUGAGAUCUGUAUGUAAUUUGAGUACAGGCUUCUGCUUUAGAAGCCACCAGUUUCUGGUUAGCCUAAAUGCUACUCACACAGUGUCCUAAGGCUGUCGAGUUCCUCCUGCACCAGAGUUGGCCCACGGGGACCUAAGUCCACUCAGGUUUAUUGAGAUGUGGAGAGAGUGCCCCCCACAAUACAACUAAGACUUUAUUACAUUCUCCCAUGGCCCCCAUGUUAACCAGAAUUAAGUGCCACUUUCACUAGUGGUGCCAGAGGCAGCCUGCCACUCUCUUCCAAAAAUUAAAUCUUUCAAUUUAGUACUAAAGAUUGAGUGCUUCCUUCAGUAUUCUUAUCUCGAAAUAAGAUAAUCCCAACUUCCCUAACCACAAAGUCAUAAGCCUUAAUUAGCUUUGUUGCUGUAACCUAAACCCCUCCAGUCCAUCUUGAAUCUCUCUGGUUGUGGCACACACAAGAUGGUGCUUGGGGAAAGAAUGGGCCAGACCUAAGUGUGAACCCCUUCCCUGACCCCUCUAGGGAUGCAACCUUCGGCAAGUCACUUACCUCUCUCUGGCCCCCAGUUUACCACUCUAAAUUGUGGGGAUUAAAUGAGAUAAUUCUAUUACAGAAAGUACCCAGCAUUGUGUCUGAAACACAGCUCCCCAAAAUACUACUUUCUCUUUCUUUCCCCAAAUCAUUAUUGUAGUGAAAGUCAGUUGUCUAUAACUACGUGUCUAAUGUGAUCAUCACCAUCCACAAGUGGCUAUGUAUAUUUAAAUCAAUUAAGAUUAAAUAUGAUUUAAAAUUCAGUUCUUUGCACUAACCAGAUUUCAAGCAUUAAGUAUGUAGCUAGUGGCUACCAUAUUUGGACUAUGUGGAUGUAGAACAUUUUCAUCAGAAAGUUCUAUUGGAUUGUGCUGGUUACCGUAUUCACUUGGAUUCAGGCUUCCAAAAACAUCCAUGUCAGUCUCUACCUACACUGUGUCAUGUGAGAUCUUUCCUCGGUAACAGGAAUAAAUGCAACCACUUUGUUUCCUAUCACAUCUCUUUUUUUAAAAAAAAUUUUUUUGGUGUGGACAGUGUUUAAAGUCUUUAUUGAAUUUGUUACAAUACUGCUUCUGUUUUUUUGUUUGUUUUUUUAAUUUUUUUUUUUUUUUUGGCUGCGUUGGGUCUUUGUUGCUGUGCGUGGGCUUUCUCUAGUUGCGGUGAGCGGGGGCUACUCUUUGUUGAGCUGAGCAGCAUGGGCUCUAGGUGCGCGGGUGCAGUAGUUGUGGCAUGUGGGCUUAGUUGCUCUGCGGCAUGUGGGAUCUUCCCGGACCAGGUCUCAAACCCGUGUCCCCUGCAUUGGUAGGCGGAUUCUUAACCACUGCGCCACCAGGGAAGUCCCCUGCUUCUGUUUUAUGUUUUGUUUUUUUGGCCGUGAGGCAUGUGGGAUCUUAACUCCCUGACCAGGAAUCAAACCCGCACCCCCUGCAUUGGAAGUGAGGUCUUAACCGCUGGACUGCCAGGGAAGUCCCUCACAUCUCUUUUAGAAAGAACCUUGUCUCCAGUUGUGUGAGUCUCACUAGAUUCAGCUAGAAACGCUCUCUCCUUGCCCUCACAGAUUCAGAAAACAAUUGUCAGCUGUCCCACCGCAACCUAGACCUACAUCUAGUGCCCUUGGCACUGAAGCCUCUGCCUUGCCCUUGAGGGUCUGGCGGGGUGUGGGCAUGACACUGAAAGCUCCACUGGUCUUGUUCCCAAAGCAAAAGGCCAUCUUUGGGGACUUGCUGCAGCUGGUGUGAGCCUCAGGGAGCUUAUUAUGGGCCCUGCAUUGAGGACACGGGGAAUUCCCCCAUGAGUCCCAAGCACCCUCAAAGGAGAGAUCAAGAAGCCAAAUGUCUAGGACAGCAGAUGGAGUGAGCAGGGCUCUGUUCUUUCCAUCACCAGUAAAGUGUC